rnacentral:rRNA from 1 species
GGUGCAGGCGGUGAUGUAAGUCGGAUGUGAAAGCCCGGGGCCCAACCCCGGAACUGCAUUCGAUACUGCAUCACUAGAGUCCCGGAGAGGAAGGCGGAAUUCCCGGUGUAGAGGUGAAAUUCGUAGAUAUCGGGAGGAACACCAGUGGCGAAGGCGGCCUUCUGGACGGUGACUGACGCUCAGACCCGAAAGCGUGGGGAGCAAACAGGAUUAGAUACCCUGGUAGUC